rnacentral:rRNA from 1 species
CUAACGCAUUAAGUUAUCCGCCUGGGGAGUACGGCCGCAAGGUUAAAACUCAAAGGAAUUGACGGGGGCCUGCACAACGAGCAUGUGGUUUAAUUCGAAGCAACGCGCAGAACCUUACCAGCGUUUGACAUGGUAGGACGACUUCCAGAGAUGGAUUUCUUCCCUUCGGGGACCUACACACAGGUGCUGCAUGGCUGUCGUCAGCUCGUGUCGUGAGAUGUUGGGUUAAGUCCCGCAACGAGCGCAACCCUCGACUUUAGUUACCAUCAUUAAGUUGGGUACUUUAAAGUAACCGCCGGUGAUAAGCCGGAGGAAGGUGGGGAUGACGUCAAGUCCUCAUGGCCCUUACGCGCUGGGCUACACACGUGCUACAAUGGCAAGUACAGUGGGCAGCAAUCCCGCGAGGGUGAGCUAAUCUCCAAAACUUGUCUCAGUUCGGAUUGUUCUCUGCAACUCGAGAGCAUGAAGGCGGAAUCGCUAGUAAUGGCAGAU